CCUACGGGGGGCAGCAGUGGGGAAUAUUGGACAAUGGGGGCAACCCUGAUCCAGCCAUGCCGCGUGUGUGAAGAAGGCCUUUUGGUUGUAAAGCACUUUAAGCAGUGAAGAAGACUCCAUGGUUAAUACCCAUGGACGAUGACAUUAGCUGCAGAAUAAGCACCGGCUAACUCUGUGCCAGCAGCCGCGGUAAUACAGAGGGUGCAAGCGUUAAUCGGAAUUACUGGGCGUAAAGCGAGCGUAGGUGGCUUGAUAAGUCAGAUGUGAAAGCCCCGGGCUUAACCUGGGAACGGCAUCUGAUACUGUUAGGCUAGAGUAGGUGAGAGGAAGGUAGAAUUCCAGGUGUAGCGGUGAAAUGCGUAGAGAUCUGGAGGAAUACCGAUGGCGAAGGCAGCCUUCUGGCAUCAUACUGACACUGAGGUUCGAAAGCGUGGGUAGCAAACAGGAUUAGAUACCCUGGUAGUCCACGCCGUAAACGAUGUCUACUAGUCGUUGGGUCCCUUGAGGACUUAGUGACGCAGCUAACGCAAUAAGUAGACCGCCUGGGGAGUACGGCCGCAAGGUUAAAACUCAAAUGAAUUGACGGGGGCCCGCACAAGCGGUGGAGCAUGUGGUUUAAUUCGAUGCAACGCGAAGAACCUUACCUGGUCUUGACAUAUCUAGAAUCCUGCAGAGAUGCGGGAGUGCCUUCGGGAAUUAGAAUACAGGUGCUGCAUGGCUGUCGUCAGCUCGUGUCGUGAGAUGUUGGGUUAAGUCCCGCAACGAGCGCAACCCUUGUCCUUAGUUACCAGCGGUUUGGCCGGGAACUCUAAGGAUACUGCCAGUGACAAACUGGAGGAAGGCGGGGACGACGUCAAGUCAUCAUGGCCCUUACGACCAGGGCUACACACGUGCUACAAUGGUAGGUACAGAGGGCAGCUACACAGCGAUGUGAUGCGAAUCUCAAAAAGCCUAUCGUAGUCCAGAUUGGAGUCUGCAACUCGACUCCAUGAAGUAGGAAUCGCUAGUAAUCGCGGAUCAGAAUGCCGCGGUGAAUACGUUCCCGGGCCUUGUACACACCGCCCGUC
rnacentral:rRNA from 2 species